UUGGGUUAUAUGUAGAUGAGGUAAACAUACUUUAGCCUCAAUCUUAGUCUGACACGCAGCGUGGGAAGACGCAUAGAGCAUUUAUUGUUUGUUGAUGUGUUCAGUACAUGACAACAUGUUGAAAACAUAUUCAUCAGUAUUACAUUCAUAAUGUUUAAUACUAAUUGUGUAAAGACAAGAAACAUUGGCAGUCGAUCAUCAGUUCGGAUGUUCAAGAGUUUAGCCCGGAAGGACUAUGCCUCUCAGCAGAUCAAUGCUGAUUACAAGUCUCUGAAAACUGGCCAUGUAGUCUACUGAUGUCUGGAAAUGGAUGAUAUGCCUUUCUGAAACGAUGUGAUGUUACGAACUAUGCUUUGGAUCAUCAUGACCUACUCCAUCGCGGUCCUUAUGUAUGAUUCAUGCCAACUGUUAUCUGGUAUUUAUUUGUUAAAUUUUCGUUUAGAGUGCUGUGAAUAAAUAAAAGCAGGCGCGGUGCAAGGGGUGGGGGCGCCACUGCGUGACACCCAUUGACGGAAAUCAUACGUUGUUUUUUUUUGAGA
rnacentral:sRNA from 1 species